AGUCAGAAUACUGUAGAAGGGGAUCACAGCAAUUUGAUAGAAAAUCAGGAUUCAUAUAUCAAAAAAGACAAAAGCAGUUUGAUAAAAUCUGCAUGUUUAACAAAGAGUUAUGGAUUUAACACAGAUGAGGAUAGUGGGAAUGACCACAGCAGCUGUGAAGAACGUGUAGAAGUAGAGAAACCAAAGGUCGAAGAUGAACAGAUGGACAGCUUAAAUAAAGCAGAAUUAAGCUACGAUAUAAAAGAGUCCAACUCAGAGGAAGAACACGCCAAUAUGGACAGAUAUAUAGAAGAGAGCUGUACAGAAUAUCAGAAAGCUCCUGGAUUGGCAACACAGUCUAAAUAUACAAAGGGUGAAAAGGCUGUGGAAAAACUCAAGCAUCAAUUUGAAGAAAUAAUAUCCCAAUCUGUCACAGAGAGAGCUAUUCUUCUGGAUAAACAAAUUGCUGAUGCCCAGAAGAAAACAGAAAGAUCUUCCAUCAGACGUUCCAUACAAAGAAAUGCCCCUCUUGAUUCGGAUAUUGAGGAUUCGCCCUCUGAAUCGCCCACAUCUCAGUCGGCCCCCAGCACCCGAUCAGGUCUUCAAUCGUCACUAUCUUUCAGCUACGAUUCCAGUGCCGUUAUAACCACAGAGCCGGAAGGCAACAGGGUCAGAUCCAUCAGGGAAAUGUUCCUGGCAAAGAGUGCCACAGAUAUCCAGCACGGGCAUGGACGUUUCCCAAGCCCGAACAAAAUUGAGCUCUCCGAGUUAAGAGCAGAGACCUCAGCGAGUGCCGGGUAUCAGUCUCUGACUUCGAGUGAGCUGUCUAGCGGAGAAGAUGAUUCAGCACGGAAAACCAUCACUAAAGGCUUUGUGAGAAGAACAAUCGAAAGGCUUUAUGGCAAGAAAGAAGCUAAACUUGAUGAAGAGGUGAGCGAAAGGCCCCCAUCGGCGCCUAAACAGAAAAAGAAAGAACAUUCAAGCAUUUUCUCUCCCUUCCACAUUGCCCGGUCCAAAGCAAUGUCCGAGUUGUCUUAUUUCAAUUCCCCUGCACUGGACACCUUAAGUGAAGCAACACGGUGCGUUGCUUUCAAUGUACAAGUCAGGCCAGAACACAGUCUCCCUAUUGAUAAUGAACAAUGGCUCCUUGGAGAAAACACGCUGAUCAGAAAGUCUGUUUCAGACCCGGUUGGGAUAAACAAAAACUUCACAAACUCUGCUCAAGGCGAAGGAAUGUGUGAGGAUACAGAGAACACCUCACAUUCCCUCCUCAACACAAAGUCUGAACUGGAGGACAACAAGCCGCCAUUUUCAAGGAAGUGUACCUACUUUUCUUUGCCCCAUGCUAAUGACUCAGACGCAUGUCAAGAUGACCUGAGCGUAGUUAGCAAGAGCAGUGCGAAUGCGGACAGUCUCAUGGAUACAAAGGACAGUUCAGAAGACA
rnacentral:lncRNA from 1 species